rnacentral:rRNA from 1 species
GACGAACGCUGGCGGCGUGCUUAACACAUGCAAGUCGAACGGGCCUUGUCCCCUUUUUUUUGGGGGUGGGGUUAGUGGCGAACGGGUGAGUAACACGUGAGUAACCUGCCCCUCACUUCUGGAUAACCGCUUGAAAGGGUGGCUAAUACGGGGUGUUCUGGCCUGCUCGCAUGGGUGGGUUUGGAAAGAUUCGACCGGUUUUGGUUGUUUUGGUGGGGGAUGGGCUCGCGGCCUAUCAGCUUGUUGGUGGGGUGAUGGCCUGCCAAGGCUUUGACGGGUAGCCGGCCUGAGAGGGUGGGCGGUCACACUGGGACUGAGACACGGCCCAGACUCCUACGGGAGGCAGCAGUGGGGAAUAUUGCACAAUGGGCGCAAGCCUGAUGCAGCGACGCCGCGUGAGGGAUGGAGGCCGUCGGGUUGGGAACCUCUUUCGCCAGUGAAGAAGGUCCUGCUCUUUGUGGUGGGGUUGACGGUAGCUGGGUUAAUGAAGCGCCGGCUAACUACGUG